CCUACGGGGGGCUGCAGUGGGGAAUAUUGCACAAUGGGGGAAACCCUGAUGCAGCGACGCCGCGUGGAGGAAGAAGGUCUUCGGAUUGUAAACUCCUGUUGUUGAGGAAGAUAAUGACGGUACUCAACAAGGAAGUGACGGCUAACUACGUGCCAGCAGCCGCGGUAAAACGUAGGUCACAAGCGUUGUCCGGAAUUACUGGGUGUAAAGGGAGCGCAGGCGGGAAGACAAGUUGGAAGUGAAAUCUAUGGGCUCAACCCAUAAACUGCUUUCAAAACUGUUUUUCUUGAGUAGUGCAGAGGUAGGCGGAAUUCCCGGUGUAGCGGUGGAAUGCGUAGAUAUCGGGAGGAACACCAGUGGCGAAGGCGGCCUACUGGGCACCAACUGACGCUGAGGCUCGAAAGUGUGGGUAGCAAACAGGCUUAGAUACCCCGGUAGUC
rnacentral:rRNA from 1 species